rnacentral:tRNA from 1 species
GGGAAUAUUAAAAUGUUGGUGCAUUUCGUGGUCUUCAAAACCAUUGUGAGAAUCAAAAAUUCUCUUGUAGGUUCGAUUCCUGCAUAUUCCC